rnacentral:pre_miRNA from 1 species
GCUCUGCUGUGGCCUAUGGCUUUUCAUUCCUAUGUGAUUGCUGUUCCAAACUCAUGUAGGGCUAAAAGCCAUGGGCUACAGUGAGGGGCCUGCUCC